GUUCCCCUGCUGUGCUCGUGAUUGAUGGGACGCUUUUGAUCCAACAGCAUAGUGAACGGGAGUUCCCUCUUGCCUCUGUGUGUCUCUUUCGAGCACAAAAAGAGACCUAAGGGGGUAAUAGAGCGCCCACCUCAUGAGUAUUAGGUUCAAAAAGGGUUUCCACCACGGCACGAUUGCGGGGGAACC
rnacentral:other from 1 species